UCCGUAGGCGGUGCGGAAAGUCGGAAGUGAAAUCUCUGGGCUUAACCCAGAGGCUGCUUCCGAAACUGCCGUGCUAGAGUGCGAGAGAGGCGAGUGGAAUUGCGGGUGUAGCGGUGAAAUGCGUAGAUAUCCGCAGGAACAUCCGAGGCGAAGGCGGCUCGCUGGAUCGCAACUGACGCUGAGGGACGAAAGCUAGGGGAGCAAACAGGAUUAGAUACCCUGGUAGUCCUAGCCCUAAACCAUCAGGACUUGGGGUUUGCCCUGUACGGGGCAAGUCCCGUAGCUAACGCGUUAAGUCCUGCGCCUGGGGAGUACGGUCGCAAGGCUGAA
rnacentral:rRNA from 1 species